rnacentral:rRNA from 1 species
GACGAACGCUGGCGGCGUGCUUAACACAUGCAAGUCGAACGGUAAGGCCCUCCGGGGUACACGAGUGGCGAACGGGUGAGUAACACGUGGGUGAUCUGCCCUGCACUUCGGGAUAAGCCUGGGAAACUGGGUCUAAUACCGGAUAGGACCACUGCCUGCAUGGGUGGUGGUGGAAAGCUUUCGCGGUGUGGGAUGGACCCGCGGCCUAUCAGCUUGUUGGUGGGGUGAUGGCCUACCAAGGCGACGACGGGUAGCCGGCCUGAGAGGGUGACCGGCCACACUGGGACUGAGAUACGGCCCAGACUCCUACGGGAGGCAGCAGUGGGGAAUAUUGCACAAUGGGCGCAAGCCUGAUGCAGCGACGCCGCGUGAGGGAUGACGGCCUUCGGGUUGUAAACCUCUUUCAGCACCGACGAAGCGCAAGUGACGGUAGGUGCAGAAGAAGGACCGGCCAACUACGUGCCAGCAGCCGCCGUAA